UACGGAGGAUCCAAGCGUUAUCCGGAUUCAUUGGGUUUAAAGGGUGCGUAGGCGGAUUUAUAAGUCAGUGGUGAAAGCCUUUUGCUUAACAACAGAACUGCCAUUGAUACUGUAAGUCUUGAGUACAUUUGAUGUGGGCGGAAUGUGUCAUGUAGCGGUGAAAUGCUUAGAUAUGACACAGAACACCGAUUGCGAAGGCAGCUCACAAAACUGUAACUGACGCUGAGGCACGACAGCGUGGGGAUCAAACAGG
rnacentral:rRNA from 1 species